rnacentral:rRNA from 1 species
UUGAAAGGGAAACGAUUGAAGUCAGUCGUACCAGCGGGAAAUCAACCUUUCGAGUGGGGGUUUUGGAGUUUUGAAGAGUGUCAAAACCUUUGAGAUUUCAAAAUUUUCGCUCUUUUGGUGUACUUUCUCGUGGGUAGGUUAACAUCGAUUUUGAUCAUCAUAAAAAGAUUGGAGGAAUGUAGCUUCGAUCUUGUAUUGAAGUGUUAUAGCCUUUGGUAAAUGUGAUGAUUAGGAUCGAGGAUUGCAACGAAUACCCUUUUGGGCUAUCCGCCUGAUCUCUGAUACGUGGCCUUGGUAUCGAAAGCGUGCUUAUGGUAUUAAGGUAUUACGGUCAAAAGGUUAGAACGGAUUACAUUCGUUAAGGAUGUUGACGUA